GAAUUGCAGAAUUCCGCGAAUCAUCGAGUUUUUGAACGCAAGUUGCGCCCGAGGCUUGUCCCAAGGGCAUGUCUGCCUGAGCGUCCU
rnacentral:rRNA from 1 species